rnacentral:rRNA from 1 species
GACGAACCGUACGAACGUUAUUCGGAAUUACUGGGCUUAAAGGGUGCGUAGGCUGCGCGGAAAGUUGGGUGUGAAAUCCCUCGGCUCAACCGAGGAACUGCGCUCAAAACACCGUGCUCGAGGGAGACAGAGGUGAGCGGGACAUAGGGUGGAGCGGUGAAAUGCGUUGAUAUCCUAAGGAACACCCGUGGCGAAAGCGGCUCACUGGGUCUCUUCUGACGCUAAGGCACGAAAGCUAGGGUAGCGAACGGG